rnacentral:rRNA from 1 species
AUUCCGGAUGCUCCAGUUGAUCGCAUGGUCUUCUGGGAAAGCUUUCGCGGUAUGGGAUGGGGUCGCGUCCUAUCAGCUUGACGGCGGGGUAACGGCCCACCGUGGCUUCGACGGGUAGCCGGCCUGAGAGGGCGACCGGCCACAUUGGGACUGAGAUACGGCCCAGACUCCUACGGGAGGCAGCAGUGGGGAAUAUUGCACAAUGGGCGCAAGCCUGAUGCAGCGACGCCGCGUGAGGGAUGGAGGCCUUCGGGUUGUAAACCUCUUUUAUCGGGGAGCAAGCGAGAGUGAGUUUACCCGUUGAAUAAGCACCGGCUAACUACGUGCCAGCAGCCGCGGUAAUACGUAGGGUGCAAGCGUUAUCCGGAAUUAUUGGGCGUAAAGGGCUCGUAGGCGGUUCGUCGCGUCCGGUGUGAAAGUCCAUCGCUUAACGGUGGUAUGUAGCGCCGGGUACGGGCGUCAUGACGGUGAAG